CUCAGGGCUGGCUACACUUACAUUUUGCAGCGCCUGGUAGUUAGCUGUGGUCGUCAGCUGGUAGGGCCAGCGCUGCGUGUGUCCCACUGACAGCUACCAGUGCUGGCA